UACGUAGUGUGCGAGCGUUAAUCGGAAUUACUGGGCGUAAAGCGUGCGCAGGCGGUUUUGUAAGCCAGAUGUGAAAUCCCCGGGCUUAACCUGGGAAUGGCAUUUGGGACUGCAAGGCUUGAGUGCGGCAGAGGAGACUGGAAUUCCUGGUGUAGCAGUGAAAUGCGUAGAUAUCAGGAGGAACACCGAUGGCGAAGGCAGGUCUCUGGGCUGACACUGACGCUCAUGCACGAAAGCGUGGGGAGCAAACAGG
rnacentral:rRNA from 1 species